UACGGAGGGUGCAAACGUUGCUCGGAAUCAUUGGGCGUAAAGCGCACGUAGGCGGUUCGUUAAGUCGGAUGUGAAAGCCCUCGGCUCAACCGAGGAAGGGCAUCCGAAACUGGCGUGCUUGAGUAUGGAAGAGGGUCUCGGAAUUCCCGGUGUAGAGGUGAAAUUCGUAGAUAUCGGGAGGAACACCAGUGGCGAAGGCGGAGACCUGGGCCAAUACUGACGCUGAGGUGCGAAAGCGUGGGAAGCAAACAGG
rnacentral:rRNA from 1 species